GCCCUAUAGCUCAGCUGGGAGAGCAAACCUAAGUGUUUUGAAUUAAGCAGUUCGAUCCUGCUUAGCUCCA
rnacentral:tRNA from 2 species